rnacentral:rRNA from 1 species
UACGGAGGGUGCAAACGUUGCUCGGAAUCAUUGGGCGUAAAGCGAACGUAGGCGGCAUUGCAAGUCGGGUGUGAAAGCCCUCGGCUCAACCGAGGAAGUGCAUUCGAAACUGCAACGCUUGAGUGUCGGAGAGGAUAGCGGAAUUCCCGGUGUAGAGGUGAAAUUCGUAGAUAUCGGGAGGAACACCAGUGGCGAAGGCGGCUAUCUGGAUGAACACUGACGCUGAAGUUCGAAAGCGUGGGGAGCAAACAGG